GAUAGCUCAGUUGUUGGAGCAUGAGAUUCUGAAUCUCAGGGUUGUGGGUUUGAGCCCCAGCUGGCCA